GAAGGGAUGAUGUUGAAGGCAGUCAGGCAAAACAGCGGGGAGUCACUCUGAAUUGUACGAUUCACUUCUCUGGUUGGUCUCUGUUGAGCAGUCCGUUCUGAUUUCACAGUGGAGAAGCUGAAAGAGGCACUAAAAAGUCUAAUAACUGUGCACGACUCCACAAAAGGCCGGAAUGAGCUGGACGUUUCAGAAGAGCUCGAAGCAUUAAGACUGGAGAAUUACAGUCCAUCUUUGGAGUUUGUGAGGCUUGCAGAUUCACAUCACACCAGGCUGCACUUUAUUUUGCAGUCAGUUUGAUUUAUUCCUGUUUGAUGUGGCGUCAGUUUUUUACACUUCCUUCACCACAUAUUGUAAAGCAAAUGACUUCAUUUAGAGAUAUGACAAACAUCAGACAGAGAGAAAAGCCAAAUAGAGGACGUCAGAAGUGAAAUGGUUCUCAUAAAACAUCCUUCAAAGGCAUUUAAAACUGUUAAAAUGUUCACACAAGACUAAUGAUUUCUUCUAAUUAUUUAAUCGUGUUAGCUCGACUUGGGUGGCAAGUAAAUGUGUAAACGGCUUUUAUAAUAAACCGUGUAACCUCA